CGUAGGUGAACCUGCGGAAGGAUCAUUCAUAAUAAGUGUUUUAUGGCACUUUUUUAAAUCCAUGUCCACCUUGUGUGCAAUGUCAGGGUUGAUUUUUCUCUCGAGAGGAUCAGCCCCAAACAUCAACUAUAUCUCAACUCUUUGUCUGAAAAAUAUUAUGAAUAAAACAAUUCAAAAUACAACUUUCAACAACGGAUCUCUUGGCUCUC
rnacentral:misc_RNA from 1 species